rnacentral:rRNA from 1 species
GACGAACGCUGGCGGCGUGCUUAACACAUGCAAGUCGAGCGGAGCGGCGAACGGGUGAGUAACGCGUGAGUAACUGCCCCCCUCUCUGGGAUAACAGGUGGAAACGGCGGCUAAUACCGGAUAGUGGGGGAUGACUCGCGUCCUAUCAGCUUGUUGGUGGGGUAGUGGCCUACCAAGGGGACGACGGGUAGCCGGCCUGGGAGGGCGACCGGCCACAUUGGGCUGGGAUACGGACCAGACGCCUACGGGAGGCAGCAGUGGGGAAUAUUGCGCAAUGGGGGAAACCCUGAUGCAGCAACGCGCGUGCGGGAAGACGGCCUUCUGGUUGUAAACCGCUUUCAGCCAUGACGCGGUAGUGGCAGAAGAAGCAACGGCUAACUACGUGCCAGCAGCCGCGGUAAUUC